rfam:Brachypodium distachyon strain Bd21 chromosome 4, whole genome shotgun sequence.
AUAAUACUCCCUCCGUUCCAUAAUUCUUGUCUCAAAUUUGUCAAAAAAUGGAUGCAUCUAUUCCCCAAAAAUGUCUAGAUACAUGUAAUAUUUCGACAAGAAUUAUGAAACGGAGAGAGUAUCUC